UACGGGGGGGGCAAGCGUUGUUCGGAAUUACUGGGCGUAAAGGGCUCGUAGGCGGCCAACUAAGUCAGACGUGAAAUCCCUCGGCUUAACCGGGGAACUGCAUCUGAUACUGGAUGGCUUGAGUUCGGGAGAGGGAUGCGGAAUUCCAGGUGUAGCGGUGAAAUGCGUAGAUAUCUGGAGGAACACCGGUGGCGAAGGCGGCAUCCUGGACCGACACUGACGCUGAGGAGCGAAAGCCAGGGGAGCAAACAGGG
rnacentral:rRNA from 1 species